CCACCUGACCCCAUGCCGAACUCAGAAGUGAAAACGCCGUAGCGCCGAUGGUAGUGUGGGGUCUCCCCAUGUGAGAGUAGGGAACUGCCAGGC
rnacentral:rRNA from 1 species